UAACAAAACACCUAAGGACUGGAAAUUUGAAAAGAAGAGAUUUAUUUUGCUUGAAGAUAGAGGUGGAGAAUCUGAAGUAAGAUGCCAGCUCUAGCAAGGACUUUCCACCUGGGUCAAAACUCAUACUGUUAUGGCCUCCAUCUAGAUUGUCAUAGAUUCUAUCCAGAUGCACAUUGAGAUAGUGGAUUAGCCUACUGAUGAAUGAAUGUAAAAUGUGAUGUUGGGAGGUGGCUUUGGUGUGGCUCCAAAGAAUCAUUCUCUUCCCUCAAUGUCUUUCUGUGUCCCAUCACCAUGCAAUGAGCCAUUUCAACUCUGCAGGCCUCUCUGCCACACUGUCCUGCCUUGGAACGAGCCGACUGCAGAUAGAAGCCUCUACAAAAUAAUAUGAUUGCAGAAUAUCAGGAAAUAUGUUCAUCAAAAUAUCAGAAAAUAAUGGAAGUGAAUUAAUAAUGCUGAGCAUCCUAAAGUCAGUUCAUAAGGUUGGGGAAAAUCACAGAGAAGAGGACUGGCAGUAUGUUUGAGAUGCAGGAAGAUCAUAAAUUACUUCCACCCAUCAAGGGAAAUUGAAAAAUGUUGUUCAGCUAUGUAUUUAGGAGAAAAAGGAAAUGGAAAUUAUAAUUAUUAUGUAAAUUAUGCCCAAUGCCUAAGAAUUGUGCAAAUGAGUGGAUAAGACACUAUGCAUACAGCAGUUAAAAAAAUAAACAUGGAGUGAUGGUGUAGAAAUCAAUUGAACUGGGAUGUUGAGAUUUUUUUCAUGAAAAUGUAUGAGUGAAAAAAAUCUUAAUUUAAUUAGGUAGAAAGAGUAGGAUGUUUACUCCAUAUGGAAUCUAUACCCCCCCAACUGGAUACCACAACCAGGGAGUUUGUUAUGAAAGACAAAGAGUCAAAUCAAUGUGAAGAUCAAUAUUUGAAGGAAUUGAUGCUCAGAGUGGCUUCUUGUGUGUUCUUAUGGUGUAAUCACAAUGAUUCUGAGAAGAUUAUGAUCCAUUUAUCUUAAUUAUGUGAAAUAUUUGCAUUAUCUAAUAAAAUAUGAUAUAUUUGAUGCAAUUUUGAGGUAAAUAAUGAGCCUGUAAACACUUGUUUAUCCAAUGAAUAAGUGAAAGAAAAUACACAUUCCCUCACGACUACACUAGAAGCCUUUAUUUCAAAUAUGAUAA